rnacentral:tRNA from 1 species
GGGCGAGUGGCGGAAUUGGUAGACGCGCUGGACUUAGGAUCCAGUGGGAGACCAUGGGGGUUCGAGUCCCUUCUCGCCCA